AGAGUUUGAUCCUGGCUCAGAAUCAACGCUGGCGGCGCGCUUAACACAUGCAAGUCGCACGAGAAAGUGGGAAACCAUGAGUACAGUGGCGUACGGGUGAGUAACACGUGGGUAAUCUACCUCUGAGUGGGGAAUAACCCUGGGAAACCGGGGCUAAUACCGCAUAAUCUCGAGAGAGGAGAGCAGCAAUGCGCUGAGAGAGGAGCCCGCGGCCGAUUAGCUAGUUGGUAGGGUAAGAGCCUACCAAGGCAGAGAUCGGUAGCCGGCCUGAGAGGGCACACGGCCACACUGGCACUGAAACACGGGCCAGACUCCUACGGGAGGCAGCAGUGGGGAAUCUUGCACAAUGGGGGAAACCCUGAUGCAGCGACGCCGCGUGAGCGAUGAAGCCCUUCGGGGUGUAAAGCUCUUUCGUCAGGGAAGAUGAUGACGGUACCUGGAGAAGCAGCUGCGGCUAACUACGUGCCAGCAGCCGCGGUAAUACGUAGGCAGCGAGCGUUGUUCGGAGUUACUGGGCGUAAAGGGUGUGUAGGCGGUUCUUUAAGUUUGGUGUGAAAUCUCCCGGCUCAACCGGGAGGGUGCGCCGAAUACUGAGGGACUUGGAGUGCGGGAGAGGAAAGUGGAAUUCCUGGUGUAGCGGUGAAAUGCGUAGAUAUCAGGAGGAACACCGGUGGUGUAGACGGCUUUCUGGACCGUAACUGACGCUGAGACACGAAAGCGUGGGUAGCAAACAGGAUUAGAUACCCUGGUAGUCCACGCCCUAAACGAUGCAUAUUUGGUGUGGGUCAUUCAGUUGAUCCGUGCCGGAGCUAACGCGUUAAAUAUGCCGCCUGGGGAGUACAGUCGCAAGGCUGAACUCAAAGGAAUUGACGGGGCCCGCACAAGCGGUGGAGCAUGUGGUUCAAUUCGACGCAACGCG
rnacentral:rRNA from 1 species